rnacentral:rRNA from 1 species
CCCUUAGAUGUUCUGGGCCGCACGCGCGCUACACUGACGAAUGCAACGAGCUUAUAACCUUGGCCGAAAGGUCUGGGUAAUCUCCAAAUUUCGUCGUGAUGGGGAUAGAUUAUUGCAAUUAUUAAUCUUCAACGAGGAAUGCCUAGUAAGCGCAAGUCAUCAGCUUGCGUUGAUUACGUCCCUGCCCUUUGUACACACCGCCCGUCGCUCCUACCGAUUGAAUGGUCCGGUGAAAUCUUCGGAUCUGAGAGAUGUUGGAUUAAUUUCUGACGCCUUUUGGAAAAGUCGCUUAAACCUUAUCAUUUAGAGGAAGGUGAANUCGUAACA